CAGAAGAACAGCUGCAGUACCUUGACUGGCUGCUUGAGGCUGGCUCCAAAACAGAGCACUUUCCCGUAGGACUCCAUGUUAACAUGUCCAAUUAUAGAACAGAAAUAAACAUGUUUAAAGCCUGGUACAAAAAUGGUUUUUUCCUACAUGAAA